rnacentral:rRNA from 1 species
CGGCAACAGCUCAAAUUUGAAAUCUGGUCCCCCCGGGGCCCGAGUUGUAAUUUGCAGAGGGUGCUUCGGCGUCGGCUCCGGUCCAAGUUCCUUGGAACAGGACGUCACAGAGGGUGAGAACCCCGUACGUGGCCGGAAGUCUUCGCCGUGUGAAGCCCCUUCGAC